GGUUAAGCGACUAAGCGUACACGGUGGAUGCCCUGGCAGUCAGAGGCGAUGAAGGACGUGCUAAUCUGCGAUAAGCGCCGGUAAGGUGAUAUGAACCGUUAUAACCGGCGAUUUCCGAAUGGGGAAACCCAGUGUGAUUCGUCACACUAUCAUUAACUGAAUCCAUAGGUUAAUGAGGCGAACCGGGGGAACUGAAACAUCUAAGUACCCCGAGGAAAAGAAAUCAACCGAGAUUCCCCCAGUAGCGGCGAGCGAACGGGGAGGAGCCCAGAGCCUGAAUCAGCAUGUGUGUUAGUGGAAGCGUCUGGAAAGGUGCGCGAUACAGGGUGACAGCCCCGUACACAAAAGCGCAUGUGCUGUGAGCUCGAUGAGUAGGGCGGGACACGUGGUAUCCUGUCUGAAUAUGGGGGGACCAUCCUCCAAGGCUAAAUACUCCUGACUGACCGAUAGUGAACCAGUACCGUGAGGGAAAGGCGAAAAGAACCCCGGCGAGGGGAGUGAAAAAGAACCUGAAACCGUGUACGUACAAGCAGUGGGAGCCCCACCACUAAGCCAGUGGUGAACUCCACAUCCGCAUCCUUUGCUGAGGAUACGGUUAACGGAGCGAAAGCGACGUUCAACCGCAAAACAAGCAGAGGGGGCUUAGUGGUGGGGUGACUGCGUACCUUUUGUAUAAUGGGUCAGCGACUUAUAUUCUGUAGCAAGGUUAACCGUAUAGGGGAGCCGUAGGGAAACCGAGUCUUAACCGGGCGUUAAGUUGCAGGGUAUAGACCCGAAACCCGGUGAUCUAGCCAUGGGCAGGUUGAAGGUUGGGUAACACUAACUGGAGGACCGAACCGACUAAUGUUGAAAAAUUAGCGGAUGACCUGUGGCUGGGGGUGAAAGGCCAAUCAAACCGGGAGAUAGCUGGUUCUCCCCGAAAGCUAUUUAGGUAGCGCCUCGUGAAUUCAUCUCCGGGGGUAGAGCACUGUUUCGGCUAGGGGGCCAUCCCGGCUUACCAACCCGAUGCAAACUGCGAAUACCGGAGAAUGUUAUCACGGGAGACACACGGCGGGUGCUAACGUCCGUCGUGAAGAGGGAAACAACCCAGACCGCCAGCUAAGGUCCCAAAGUCAUGGUUAAGUGGGAAACGAUGUGGGAAGGCCCAGACAGCCAGGAUGUUGGCUUAGAAGCAGCCAUCAUUUAAAGAAAGCGUAAUAGCUCACUGGUCGAGUCGGCCUGCGCGGAAGAUGUAACGGGGCUAAACCAUGCACCGAAGCUGCGGCAGCGACGCUGAUGCGUUGUUGGGUAGGGGAGCGUUCUGUAAGCCUGUGAAGGUGUGUCGUGAGGCAUGCUGGAGGUAUCAGAAGUGCGAAUGCUGACAUAAGUAACGAUAAAGCGGGUGAAAAGCCCGCUCGCCGGAAGACCA
rnacentral:rRNA from 1 species